rnacentral:rRNA from 1 species
UACGGAGGGUGCAAGCGUUGUCCGGAUUUAUUGGGUUUAAAGGGUGCGUAGGCGGCCCGUUAAGUCAGUGGUGAAAUCCCAGGGCUCAACCCUGGAACUGCCAUUGAUACUGACGGGCUUGAGUUCGGUUAAGGCGGGCGGAACUGGUGGUGUAGCGGUGAAAUGCAUAGAUACCACCAAGAACCCCGAGUGCGUAGGCAGCUCGCUGAGCAGAAACUGACGCUGAGGCACGAAAGCGUGGGGAGCGAACAGG